GUCACAGCUGGAAGAGGCCGAGGAGGAGAGCAGCUUUCUGAAGGCUCAUAUAUUUAAACUGCGUAGUGGGGGAGGGGCUACAAGGAAGGCUAAAAUGAUGACAAAGAUGAUUGAAUUAGGAAAACUUUGCUAUGAUGAAAUUUUUAGUCAGCUCUCAUUAUUAAUAAUUAAUAGACUUGCUUGUUAACUAGAACUUUAUAGCUGUUAGUUUUUCCCUUUAGUGUAGCCACAAUCUUCUCAAUUAUUAUAACGAUUAAUUUAUAAUUAA